AAAGUGCGACAAGUGUCACGACUUGCAGAUUCCCGGGAGCUGACCAAUUUCUGAAUGCAACUUGCGGACCGACUUUCUGCCCUGUCGGCCAUGUGCUGCAGAGUGUUGUUGCCUUGUGCACGACAUCUAUCUCUUUCCGCUCCGCGGAGAGAAAGGAUUCGGCGUUGGCCAACCCCACCCCACACACUGCUGUGGAGAAGGAUGGCCAGCGCUCAGAAUUGCGCAAGCCCGCGAUCAAAGACGGAGCCUGCCUUGAAGAUUCUUCGGCAGAGCGCACACAACGAGUCUUUUCGCGAGAGUGUGCGACGACCACCCUUUCAUUUUCUGCUGACCUCUGCAGCAUAAGAAAACCCGCUGAACUUAA
rnacentral:misc_RNA from 1 species